AGGUAAUAGAUACCCAGGUAGUCCACGCUGUAAACGAUGAAUAUUAGGUGUGGGAGGUAUCGACUCCUUCCGUGCCGUCGUAAAACACAUUAAGUAUUCCACCUGGGGAGUACGGUCGCAAGAUUAAAACUCAAAGGAAUUGACGGGGGCCCGCACAAGCAGCGGAGCAUGUGGUUUAAAUUCGAAGCAACGCGAAGAACCUUACCUGGACUUGACAUCCCCUGAAUAGAUUAGAGAUAAUUGAAGCCCUUCGGGGCAGGGAGACAGGUGGUGCAUGGUUGUCGUCAGCUCGUGUCGUGAGAUGUUAAGUUAAGUCCUGCAACGAGCGCAACCCUUGUCAUUAGUUGCUACCAGUAAGAUGAGCACUCUAGUGAGACUGCCGCGGUUAACGCGGAGGAAGGUGGGGAUGACGUCAAAUCAUCAUGCCCCUUAUGUCCAGGGCUACACACGUGCUACAAUGGGCAGUACAAUGAGACGCAAGCCCGCGAGGGGGAGCCAAACCGAUAAAACCUGUUCCCAGUUCGGAUUGCAGGCU
rnacentral:rRNA from 1 species